GAAACCGAGUCUUAAUUGGGCGUUAAGUUGCAGGGUAUAGACCCGAAACCCGGUGAUCUAGCCAUGGGCAGGUUGAAGGUUGGGUAACACUAACUGGAGGACCGAACCGACUAAUGUUGAAAAAUUAGCGGAUGACCUGUGGCUGGGGGUGAAAGGCCAAUCAAACCGGGAGAUAGCUGGUUCUCCCCGAAAGCUAUUUAGGUAGCGCCUCGUGAACUCAUCUCCGGGGGUAGAGCACUGUUUCGGCUAGGGGGCCAUCCCGGCUUACCAACCCGAUGCAAACUGCGAAUACCGGAGAAUGUUAUCACGGGAGACACACGGCGGGUGCUAACGUCCGUCGUGAAGAGGGAAACAACCCAGACCGCCAGCUAAGGUCCCAAAGUCAUGGUUAAGUGGGAAACGAUGUGGGAAGGCCCAGACAGCCAGGAUGUUGGCUUAGAAGCAGCCAUCAUUUAAAGAAAGCGUAAUAGCUCACUGGUCGAGUCGGCCUGCGCGGAAGAUGUAACGGGGCUAAACCAUGCACCGAAGCUGCGGCAGCGACGCUGAUGCGUUGUUGGGUAGGGGAGCGUUCUGUAAGCCUGCGAAGGUGGCCUGUGAGGGUUGCUGGAGGUAUCAGAAGUGCGAAUGCUGACAUAAGUAACGAUAAAGCGGGUGAAAAGCCCGCUCGCCGGAAGACCAAGGGUUCCUGUCCAACGUUAAUCGGGGCAGGGUGAGUCGACCCCUAAGGCGAGGCCGAAAGGCGUAGUCGAUGGGAAACGGGUUAAUAUUCCCGUACUUGGUGUUACUGCGAAGGGGGGACGGAGAAGGCUAUGUUGGCCGGGCGACGGUU
rnacentral:rRNA from 1 species